rnacentral:rRNA from 1 species
AGUGAACGCUGGCGGUAGGCCUAACACAUGCAAGUCGAACGGCAGCACAGGAGAGCUUGCCCUCUGGGUGGCGAGUGGCGGACGGGUGAGGAAUACAUCGGAAUCUACUCUGUCGUGGGGGAUAACGUAGGGAAACUUACGCUAAUACCGCAUACGACCUACGGGUGAAAGCAGGGGACCUUAGGUCCUUGCGCGAUUGAAUGAGCCGAUGUCGGAUUAGCUAGUUGGCGGGGUAAAGGCCCACCAAGGCGACGAUCCGUAGCUGGUCUGAGAGGAUGAUCAGCCACACUGGAACUGAGACACGGUCCAGACUCCUACGGGAGGCAGCAGUGGGGAAUAUUGGACAAUGGGCGCAAGCCUGGUCCAGCCAUACCGCGUGGGUGAAGAAGGCCUUCGGGUUGUAAAGCCCUUUUGUUGGGAAAGAAAUCCAGCUGGCUAAUACCCGGUUGGGAUGACGGUACCCAAAGAAUAAGCACCGGCUAACUUCGUGCCAGCCGCCGCCGUAA